rnacentral:tRNA from 1 species
GGGGAUUUAGCUCAGUGGUAGAGCGCUUGCCUAGCAAAUGCAAGGCCCUGGGUUCGGUCCCCAGCCCCG